CGCGCAGGCGGUCGUUCAAGUCGGAUGUGAAAGCCCCCGGCUCAACUGGGGAGGGUCAUUCGAAACUGGUCGACUCGAAGGCAGGAGAGGGUAGUGGAAUUCCCGGUGUAGUGGUGAAAUGCGUAGAUAUCGGGAGGAACACCAGUGGCGAAGGCGACUACCUGGCCUGUUCUUGACGCUGAGGCGCGAAAGCUAGGGGAGCAAACG
rnacentral:rRNA from 1 species